GGCUCAGGAUGAACGCUAGCUACAGGCUUAACACAUGCAAGUCGAGGGGAAACGACAUCGAAAGCUUGCUUCCGAUAGGCGUCGACCGGCGCACGGGUGAGUAACGCGUAUCCAACCUGCCCACCACUUGGGGAUAACCUUGCGAAAGUAAGACUAAUACCCAAUGACGUCUCUAGAAGGCAUCUGAAAGGGAUUAAAGAUUCAUCGGUGAUGGAUGGGGAUGCGUCUGAUUAGCUUGUUGGCGGGGUAACGGCCCACCAAGGCAACGAUCAGUAGGGGUUCUGAGAGGAAGGUCCCCCACAUUGGAACUGAGACACGGUCCAAACUCCUACGGGAGGCAGCAGUGAGGAAUAUUGGUCAAUGGGCGAGAGCCUGAACCAGCCAAGUAGCGUGCAGGAUGACGGCCCUAUGGGUUGUAAACUGCUUUUAUAAGGGAAUAAAGUGAGCCUCGUGAGGCUUUUUGCAUGUACCUUAUGAAUAAGGACCGGCUAAUUCCGUG
rnacentral:rRNA from 1 species